AGGUCGGUGGUGCAGUGGAUAGCAGGUCGCAUUCGAAUGUGAAGGAGAGUGGUUCGAUCCCCUCCUGGUCUU
rnacentral:tRNA from 1 species